UCUCAAUAACUCGUUAACCUAGGAUUUGUCAUCUUCUUAACGUGUUUUCAUAGUUUAUGAAACUUAUAGUUAUACAACUCAUAGUUGUUGAAAACUUACUUCCCAAAGGAAUCAAUUCGAUCAAAGAAUCGUAUUUCCAUACUUCUGUCAACUGACUGAACACAUCUUCUUCCGCUUGUCAAAGUAGUUCUGCUCAGUUUAGUGUUUUACGCAUUUAUUCUCACAGUAUCGUUUCAUAAUGUGAUAUAAUAAUAUAAUAAGCUGAUAUUUAAAUGUAAAAUAUAUAUAUAUAUAUUUUAAAUAUUCGAACUGAAGGAAUUCCCGGCCUAGCGCAAGGAUACAUUCUCAUCUAAGCACGCAGUGGGGCUGCUGCGCGCGCCAAAGGAAUCACUCGACCUUCAGUUCACGCAACGGUCAAUCUUCGAUGUGAGGCGAAAAUAAGCAGGUAAAGUUCAUGUUUUAUCAUUUUUGUCAUUAUUAUAUGUUAUUUUUACUAUAUCGGAGUUCUAGCAUUUAGAAUGUUUACCCUUUUGAAUAUUUAAACCAGCGUUUCAAACUUUGGCGCUUUGACCAGUGCCCUUAGUCAUUUAAAAUCUUCAAAAGUUUCAAAUAUAACGUUGGGUAUUGUGUCGUUUUUUAUUUUAUUUUUUUAUUAUUAUUCUUUUUUUGCUAGAAUUUAUCCGAAUCUUACCACAUACUUUUUGUAGUUGUAGGUUUUGUUAAGCUAUAUUGUCCCUGAGGGAAAACUGGAUGGCUUUGAGGAAAAUUAAGUCUUUAACUGUUAAGUUACGAUUCAUAAUCGUAGGCGUCGUCUAAAAGCUCAAAAUAUUUUAUUUUCCUAGGCGAGAUUGGAUGAAAAUUCUGAAUUCAAAAUCAGAUUCAUGAGAACAAGCGCUUAAAGUGACUGAACUCCUCCGAGGGCGAUAUGAAGCGUUAGUAAUGUUAUGUUCUUAGGCACUUUUCCCUCUUCGAGCAGCUUCUGUUUUAAGACACUUUUAAUCAACCUUCUAUAUUAAAGCACUGUUAUUGAAGCUGAUAGGGAUUAUUGAUAGGGACUCGCUGAUAGGAAUUCACAGGUGACACAGACAGGGUUCAGAACUAUAGAUAUAAUACAUUUGUCAAUAUUUUUCUUUGUAUUUUUGUAGAUUGGCUAAAAUUUCAUAUAUUUACAUGCUUUUUUUUCUUCUUACAGAUAACUUCUGUGAGCGGCUAAAAUCAAGGUCAGCGUGAAAGGGUGAGAGUUGCACAGUGCAAAGAUGUUGACAGAUUACACUUGCAAUAGUUGUGGUGUUUCUGUGAAAACUCUAAAAGGUUACGUACAACAUCAAGGGCUACACAGAAAUGAGGCACAUUACCUAUUAGCUUGUUGCAUAGCAGGUUGCAAGUUACGGUUCAGAAAUUACAAUGCAUUUAAAAGUCAUGUUUACCGUCAUCAUCGGCAGUUAUCUUCUGCAUCACAGUGCGAGUCUCUUCAGGGGCCCUUUUCAUGUCAAUUUACUAACUGUCAGAAACAGUUGACUGACCUUUCAGAUCUUUUGGGUCACCUGAAAUUUCACAUUUCAAAAAGAGAGGAGGUGCAUUGUCCGUUCAAAAAUUGUGAUCGCUCAUUUUCAGUGAAAUCAUCUUUCACGUCCCACCUAUCUAGAAAGCACAAAUACUCGACAGCUUUGAAUGUCUCUGGUGCAUACUGUCUUCCCUCAUUUCCUAGUGGGUCUCAAUUCUCUGUUGCUGAAAGCCACUUAGAUGAAGUGGCAGAUGAUGAUGGACCUGAGGAGGAUAUACUGGACACAGAACAAAUGAAAAAUUUAUACAUGAGAAAUCUGUCCAUGUUUUACAUGAAGUUGCAGGCGAAGCAGCUGAUCCCUUCCUCCACAGUACAGUUAAUCGUAGAAGAGAUCAAUAAGCUCAGUGGAUUGUGCCAGCAGUACACAAAGAAUCAACUCAAAGCAUCUCUUCAAGCAAAAACUAAACUCUCUGAGGCAGAAAUUGAAGAUGUUGUAAAAACUCUAGAUGACAUGGAUGUUCAUGGGUCAUGCAGCUCUGCUUUUUCAACAGAGUACAAAAGAAAACAGUACUUUGAGGAAAAUUUUUCCUAUGUGCAUCCAAAAUGCAUUUUUUUGGGGACUGAUGAAAACAGAAAGGAGCGGCAUGCACAGUAUAUUCCCAUAAAAGACACAUUAACAGCUCUACUGAAAGAUCCUGCAGUGUGGGAAGAAUGUUGUACAUCUGAGAAUGAGAGUACACCUCUUAUUUUAAAUGAUGUGUGUGAUGGAUCGGUAUUCAAAUCCAAUCCAUUAUUUUCUGAGCCAGGCAUCACUUUAAAAUUGAUCCUUUAUCAGGAUGCAUUCGAGUUAGUUAAUCCCCUUGGAUCUGCAAAAAAAAAGCACAAGAUGCUUGGGGUGUACUUUACUCUAGCAAACUUUGAUCCGUUUCAUCGUUCCACCAUUGACAACAUGCAGCUUUUGCUGUUGUGCCGAGAAGCUGAUUUCAAAAAUUUUGGCCAUGAAAAGGUGUUCUCUCCACUGAUAUCUGAUCUUAGGGAGCUGGAAACAAAUGGAUUGACCAUACAUGGAAACAAUGUAAAGGCAACAGUCUUUUGCAUCACAGGCGAUAAUUUGGGUUCUCAUAAUAUCGGUGGUUUCACAGAAAACUUUAGUACAUCUAAAUAUUUCUGCAGAUACUGUCAUGUGACAAGAAGUGACCUGGACAAUUUGGAGCACCAUGCUCCGAUCCGCAGAGUUCAAGACUACAUUGACACUGUUGAAGAGCUGCGGAAUGAUGAUGCACAUGAAGUCAGAGGUUUGAAGUUUGACUCCAUCUUUAAUUCUCUGGCUUUUUUCCAUGUUUGCCAGCCAGGCUUGCCACCCUGCAUUGGCCAUGAUUUGUUUGAGGGUGUAGUGGCAUCCGAUCUUGCCAUUUACAUCAACUACCUUGUCAAGGUGAAGAAAUUCUUCACAUAUUCAGAACUGAAUCGUAGAAUCAGGCAGUUUACUUACCAAGGAUCUGACAGUAAUUCUACACCCUCUGAAGUUUCUGAAAAGGGUGUAAAAUUAGGUGGCCAGGCAACAGAAAACUGGUGUUUGCUGAGGCUUCUACCAAUUAUAAUUGGUGAGAAUAUCGCAGAUACAGAGGAUCCAGUUUGGCAACUUGUUGUCCAGCUGAAAGAGGUAGUGGAGUUGAUUUGUGCCCCCACAAUAUCAGAACCUCAGAUUGCUUUCCUCAAUGUUCAGAUCCGUGACUAUCUAGAGGAAAGGAAAGAAAUGUUUCCUGCACACAAGCUGAAACCAAAACAUCACUUCCUCACUCAUUACCCUGCAUUGAUCCUGAAAUUUGGCCCACUAGUGCGGUUGUGGACAAUGCGGUUUGAAAGCAAACAUUCCUACUUUAAAAGAUGUGCACGAAGAACACAAAAUUUCAAAAACGUAUGUCAGACACUUGCCAGGAACCACCAGCUCCUGCAAGCAUACCUUCAUUCAGGCUCAUUUUUUGCACCCUUAUUGGAGGUCAAGAACUCCACUCCUUUCCAUUUAGAACUGUACAGCAAUGAAGUGCGCACUGCUGUAGGAACAGCCUUAGACAGGGAGCCGAAUAUUGUGGCAUCUACAGAGUUGAAGUGGAAAGGGACUCUGUAUAAAAAGGGGUUCUUUCUGUCUCUGAGCCAAGGUGAGGCGAUUGAAUUCGGUCAAAUUGAGCUCAUGUUGGUGAAGGAAGAGAAGCAUGUGUACUUUCUUGUUACUCCUCAUGAUGUGUCCUACUUGCCAGAGUUUGGACUAUAUAAAGUGAAGGAUGCAAGGCACAGCAUGCAGUACUGGAAAGCAGAGCUCAAAUUGGACUAUUAUCCAUUGCCUGCAUAUAAGCUUUUGGGGUCAAAAGUAAUUUCACUGAAACAUAGCAUUGUUGACACAGAGUAAAGAUAAUGUAAAGGUGAAUAUACACCAAGAGUGUCCAGUCUUAUUCCAGGAGAUCUACCUAUCUGCAUGGUUCAGAUCCAACCCUGAGAGGUUUCUAUUCAUCCAUUGGACUAUAAUUUUCCAGAAAGACAUCAAUAAAGUAAUUGAGUAGACUACAGCGGUUUAGCCAAAUUUAUGAAGACAUGUCAGUGUGCAAACUAAAGCAGUUUAGUGUUUGGGUUGGAGCUGAACAUAUUGAUAGGUACAUUUCUUGGAACAGGACAAGGCAUCCCUGUUAGACGCGUCAUCCACAGUGUUUUUUUUUUUUUUUUUUUUUUUUUUUUAAAUAAAUACUUCUACAUUAAUUGAGCUUCUUAAGAGUUUUGACCAUCACAGCACAAUACCUCAUGUGAAGCUGCAUUAAACAUGCCUUCAUAUAAACAAUGGUUAUAAGAGUCCCUAAGAGUUGACAAGAAACAAAAUUUAUCUUUAGCUAGAUGUGACUAUAUGGGUUAGAGUAAAGCAGCUUUUUCUAUUUGCACUUGACUAGUUGUUUGUCUUGUCUCUCUUUAGUGUCAUGGAUGGAGAGAAUGCUCUUGCCUCUUUAAUUAAAUCAGCUCUACCAAAAAUGAGCAAACUUGAACAGUUACUGGAAGCACUGAAUGAAUUAGGAGUGCAGAACUGUGAGGACAUGAACUAUAUCCAGGAGAGUGACCUUCUCCAUAUCCUGAGGCCAGUGGAAGCAAGGAAACUCUUGUCAUGCUUCAAAUCAGCAAGUCAAAGUGAUGUGACUGGUAGCUUUUCAAGCAACCAACUGUCCUCGAAUAAAGCCUGUGAAAGUCCUGAUCAAACCUCCUUUUCUGGUACCUACAGCUCAGCAACUUCAAGCUCAGUGUCAACAUCUAGUUUAAGUGUGAGUGGUACACCUCAACUGCCUGAUAGCUGGCAUUAUCAUUUUCAAAUUCCCUGGAAGAAGUUCCCAUCUGAGAUCUUUAGAAAACUGGAAGCAGGGAAGCGGCCAAGAAAAAAUGAAAGACUGGAAAUCAUAAGACUGGUAGUGAGUGAAAUAUUAACAGUUUGUCCAACACCUGUUAAAAAACACAUCACUGAGAUUGCACGGAAGAUGGCCAUGGCUUAUCCUGAAGCAUUCAAAGAUAUUAUUGAAGGGGAAGUUGUUGGAAGUGGGUAUGAUUCAGUCAUCAAACAGCUGAUUAACAGACUGGACAAUGUGAGGAGAGGAAAGACAUCACUUUCUUUAAAGAGACAAGCAGCUGGCAACAGUGAAGAAGAUACUUUGAGUAGAAAGAAGAGACUAGAUAGCUACGGGUGUAAAAACUGGCAACCAGUGCAGCUACCAGCUAAUGAAACGCCUGACACCCAGAUAUCUGUAAAGCAGGAAAUGAAGAAAAUGAAAAAAGAACAGUUCCAUGAUGCCAAAAUUGUUGAGAAUAUGAUGAGGGCCACCUUCUUUACUCAGCGAAAAGACAUCAUAAAUGGGGUUGAAACCUCUGAUCUGUUGCACGAAUGGCCAUAUUUGUUUGAAACAUCUGGCAUGAUGACUCACUUUAAAGAGCUAACUGCGAUAGACUUUGAAGACAAAACUAUAGCAAGUAAGUGUGCCAGAGUUGUUUCAUACUUCAGAUGUACUGACAAGACAGCAAAGAUGCAGACCAUCUUCAGGGAAAUGGAAAAAUCAAGCAAGAACGUGGAUGAUAUCAACGCUGCUGGAUUUCUUCAGCUACUUCUCAAGUACUUCAGCGAGAGAGAGGACCAGAUGUUCCAUAAAGUGGAUCAAACAACCUUGCCAUCUGAAGUAGACUGUGCCAAACUUCCGAGUACACCCUGCAUAAUUGUGUGUGGAAGUUCACCUUUGACCGCAGAGAACUUCAUGUUUUCUGUUGACCAAGUCGUCGUUAACGGCCACAUCACCAUCUUCUGUGAUGCUCUGAAGUUGAUGUUUGCUUCAUAUUACUGUUUGAACAUUUCAUACCCAGUAGACCAAGGAGGAACGCUAGAGUUUGUGCAAAGAUGCCUUUUUAAGAUGAACCCCGAGAAGGGAUCAAAAGUGGAGAAGACAACAUCAAGAAAGCAAUCAGCAGUCAGUCCAAAGGUUCUUUCACUGAUUAGCAAAAUUGCAGACUAUGAAUGGAUGGAUUAAAAACUUUAAGUGUCAGAUCUUCCAUUGACUUAAAAUACUGAUAAUUUUCUUUUUUGGUUGAAUUAUUUGUUGCUGUCUGUACACACACACACACACACACACACACUCAUAUGACAGCACAUGGUUGAGAUCCCUGAUGUUAAGAUGCCGUUCGUCUGGGAGUCGUCUCUUUCUGUUCUGUGUAGAACGGAUGCUUCCUGAACUCUACAGCUACACAUACACAUCUGACUGAUGUUAUUAGUGCACUGAGGAUCAGUCUGAGGAUUGAGUUGUGAGCGUCAGAGUGUUACUUUACUAUCAUCUCUACACUAUUAGAGCAUAUAUCUGUUGUCGAGGUGAAUAAUUUCUUCACAGGUGGUUCAGUUAAAUUAAAGGACAAUUUUAGUAUAAAUUGUUGUGUUUACCAAAAUUGUUUUUACUGUGUGCUGUUGCAUUUAUGAUUUUUUUUAAAUAUUUUUAUUCUGUUUUGGCCAUGAACAAAAUGAAUUGUAAUAUUGUUGAAGUUAUGAUUAUUGGAAAAUCAUUGAACUUGUGCUAUAAUCUUUAUACUUGUAUAUUGUUGCAGUCUUGAAUAUAGAAUAUUAAGAGUAAAUUGCAGUUUUGAACAAAAUGUAUUGGUAUGUUCUUGCAGAUAGGGCAAUAAAUUAUUAAAACACUAUCUUGCACCUAUGUCUGAUUAUUUAAAUUAAAGCAGUGUUAAAUAA